UACAGAGGGUGCAAGCGUUGUUCGGAAUUAUUGGGCGUAAAGCGCGUGUAGGCGGCGUGGCAAGUCGGGUGUGAAAGCCCUCAGCUCAACUGAGGAAGUGCGCCCGAAACUGCUGUGCUUGAGUGCCGGAGAGGGUGGCGGAAUUCCCCAAGUAGAGGUGAAAUUCGUAGAUAUGGGGAGGAACACCGGUGGGCGAAGGCGGCCGCC
rnacentral:rRNA from 1 species